rnacentral:rRNA from 1 species
GAUGAACGCUAGCUACAGGCCUAACACAUGCAAGUCGAGGGGCAGCGGGAAGGAAGCUUGCUUUCUUCGCCGGCGACCGGCGCACGGGUGCGUAACGCGUAUCGAACCUACCCUUUACUCGGGAACAGCCUUGCGAAAGCAAGAUUAAUGCCCGAUGUUCCGCGUUUGCCGCAUGGCAAAUUCGGCAAAGAUUUAUUGGUAAAGGAUGGCGAUGCGUCCCAUUAGUUAGUUGGCGGGGUAACGGCCCACCAAGACGACGAUGGGUAGGGGUUCUGAGAGGAAGGUCCCCCACAUUGGAACUGAGACACGGUCCAAACUCCUACGGGAGGCAGCAGUGAGGAAUAUUGGUCAAUGGGCGGAAGCCUGAACCAGCCAAGUAGCGUGCAGGAGACAGCCCUAUGGGGUUGUAAAACUGGCUUUUCAGUCGGGAAUAAUUCGUCGGUCGUGACCGACGUUGCAGGUACCGUCAUAAGAAGGACCGGCUAAUUCCGUG